CUCGUGGUUUCGCGGCACCGCGCAAGGCGCUUCGUCCCCUCUGAUAUUCCCCGCCACUACAAAAUCCCAGGUGGAGAGAAAAGCCACGAGCAGAGCAUCUACCAAAGCCUGGAACUCGUCUUCCCCGGCCGUUCCCAAUCCCACACGCCGUAGCCCGCAGCCGGUAUCGUUUCCAGUUCCAGGAGAGGGGAGGGAAACCCACCCAAGGAGGCCAUGCUUCCGGGUGUGGAGCUCGCGCGGCGGCGCCGCGUGCACUACCACGGCGACGUCGUGGGCGUGGGGGGCGGCGACCACCACCAAAAGCUGGGCCCCUCGACGUCGCACGCGGCCACCGGCAUGGUCGGACCGGCGCUGGCGGCCCGUAACCGGCUCCAGGAGAAGCUCCGCGGCGCCGCCUCGCCCUCCUCCUCCUCGAGGUGGGGCUGGAGAACGCGAGAGCGAGAUAAUGGAGCAAGCUCCAGACAGCACAGCAUCCAGCAAGAGCAGCAGCAGCAGGACCUCGCAGUCGCAGCUAGCACGUUCAGGUCCCCCUGUCCGGUUCCAGCGAUGACGGUAACUACUAGCCGCCGUGCUGAGAUGAGGAGGACGCUGUCCAAAGCCGAUGUCUGCGCGGUGUGCCUCGAUGAGGUCCGGGAGAGGCAUCAGCGGGUGACGAGGCUGCCGUGCUCCCACAGUAACCAAAGCGACUUUGCUAAUCGCUUGCACCUGAGCGGGACUACAGACUUGGCUUCCUGAAAUCGCAUAAACAGUUAUAUAUAAAGGGGCUAGCGGUUCUGGAAUUUCUACUGGCACGUUACAAAAUGUUCUCCCCAGAUAAUUUGAGCAUUCUCUAGAAGUGGUCAGAGAGAGAUAAAAUUAUCUGAUUACGAGUUGGGUCUUGAGGACAUAUGCCUUGUUUGGUGAAUUUCAGCACUCGAGGGCGCAACGUACAACAGUAACAGCCACAGCUCUUCUACAUGCUGCUGCAAAAUUUGUGCAGCGGUAUGGCUCAAAUACUUCUAGACACCAUUUGUCAUCGUGUUGUGGUUCUAUUAGUCCUAACAUCAUUGAAUCAUACCACUGCAUAAGCUACCCCAAUAAACAAGCUUAGAAAGGGAACCACAAAAUAGACUUUCUUUACUGUUUUGCAUUACACUUACCUCAUACUAAAAACACAUAAAAAUAGUGUAACUUUUAUUUCUCUGGAACUAUGGGUGAAGGAAACAAUAUUAAGUUAUAUGACUUCACUAAUGUGCCAAAUGCAAAAUUUAUCUGCAACCUCAUUACCUUCCCUGAAAUUAAAUUUGAUUCCAUUGAAGUUAGUCCUUGGUUACUAAAUUUAAUAUGUAAGGGUCAAUUUGCAGGUGGUGCUGGUGAUGUUGCUAUGCACUUGCAUGAUUUAUACGAAAUUUGUGAUAUACAAAAUUUCAAGAAUGUUGAAAAUGAUAUUACAGAACUUAAGUUAUUCUCCUGGUGAAGAUGUUGCUAUGCACUUGCAUGAUUUAUGCGAAAUUAGUGAUAUAAAAAAUUUCAAGAAUGUUGAAAAUGAUAUUACAGUACUUGAGAUAUUCUCAUUUUUUCUUUACGUGGUAGAGCAAAAGAAUGGUUAUUAUCUUCA